UAGCUUCUUUAAAAAACAAUCCUUUCUUAGCAGUGAAGGCAGUAGUUCCAUGAUUCUCUGAAAUGCAACACCCUUUCUCUCUCUCGUUCCACAAACCCUAAAUUAAACACAAAAUCCCCUUCUCUUUGGUGCUCCAGAAACCCUAAAUCAAAAAGAGUGCGAGAUUGAUGUGGUGCACGAAGGCGAGAACUCGAAAACGAUUAUAGUGUGGUGAAAUUUGGGUAUUGUUCAUCGUAUUAUUUUCCAAGCUGGUGUGAAGAUGGUGAUCCUGAAAAAUUGAUUUGAAAUUCCUUUUUUCAGUUCCAAGCCGAUUGUGUCAUUCCUGAUCUUAAGAUUCAAAGCAGCUCAUCAUGAAAUUGCGAAAUCAACCCUUAUAAAACAUAACAGAGGAAGCAAGAACUCAACGCAAAGAUAAAGUCCAUUAAGAAAACAUUAUGAUCUUCUACUCCUUUAGCUUUCAAGGAUGAACUUAAAGCAAGAAAGAGACUUCUUUGGAGGCUCGGUCGCUAUAUUGGAAAUGAGUACCCACUGGUAAUCAAUUUAAGUGUGAAAAUGAUGAAAUAUACUAGACUAGAUUGGUAGCUGUUGCCACUCAAAAGUUUGUUGCUGGAGUUGCCGGAGAUGCNCUUCAAUUGGGCUGUUUUGGGGCUGAAGUGGACAAUUGGGCUGAUUUCACUAUUGGACCUUGAUCAUUUUAGGGUGCUUGAAUCUGAAAGUUGAGGGAAGUGUCCAAAAUCAACAGCAAGUGUGGCUGCUGCAACAAGGUGAUUUGAACAUGCAGAACCAGCUGAAAGCAUCGAAGGUGGAGCUGAUGCUGCUGGAAGAAAUGGUUGAGCAGGAGGAAGGUAUUGCAGCCAUAGAGACUUUGCACAUAGGAGCUGAAAAUAAUUGAGAAAAACCAAUAAGCCUUUUCUUAUCCUUCCUUAUUUUAGUUUCAUGUUAUGUUUAGUUCUUAAUUAGUUUAUAUUCCUUAUUGUAGUUUCAUGCUUUGUUUUAAGUUUUGAAUUAGGAUUCUUUUCGCAAUUAGGUUUUAUUUUCUUUUUGCUACUGUUUUACAAUUAUUUUGAAUCUGUUUAGAUCUCUCUUUUUCAGUUUUUUGUUUUGGUUAAUCUUUCUUUGUCAGGUAGUUUAUAGGAAUAGUUUAGAUUUAUCUUCUNUCAAUAUAUUAGGUAGUUUAUGAUUCAUUCUAGGUUGUUUUCAUAUUAGAUUUUGUUUUAGUCUUUAAUUAGCAGUUGUCUUAGGUGCUUUUCGUUUCUUAGGUCUGUUGCAGCUUGUAAAUAAAAUUGUCUUAGGAUUUGCUUGUUUUAAGAGUCUUCUGAUUACUUAGCUUCUGUUUUUAGUCUUUAACUAGAAUUCCCUUUAGGUUUUUUUAGUUCCAGGUCUUGUUUUAAGUUUCUUCUUCUUUCUACGUCUCUGUCUUGUUAGUUUAGGUCCUUUAUUAGGAAGUGUGUAGAUUCUUUGUUUAGGAGUUGAGUAAGUUCUUUUCUUUUCUGUUGUUUAGGAUCUGUUUUAGGUAUAACAUAAUUGUGUGUGGUUCAGGUUCAUAGAGUUUAGGUAAUUUUGUUUAGGUAUUUUUAGGUUCUGUGUUACACUUUACUUAACUUUUUGCUGAUUUACUUAACGUUUUAGCUUUAUUUCUCUAAGAUAGAUUGCCAAUAGUGUCUUUAGCUCUAGAUUUAAGUAGAUGUAGCUCUAGCAGUAGUUUUUGCAGUUGGUUCAGUUGAAGUGAGCAGUUUUUGCAUGAUAGAGAGUAGGAAUUCCAUUUUUGACAAAUUUUAAUCCUGGAGAGUUUUUGGGCCAAUUUUUUUUUUCUAGUGUGAUUACAUGCUUGUAUAGUCAUAAUUCUGAUUUUGCAUUGAUUCUCUUUGAGUGUGCUUGAUCUUGGUAAAACUUUAGAUAUGAUCUAGGCCUCUUUCUUCUUACCCAUUCACAUAUAUUUCCAUUGCACCUUUCUUUGAGCCUUAGCCUAUUCUUUGUGUUUCCAGCCAUUACAAACCUUUUUCCCAACUAUCUACAUAAGCCCUUAGAGAGAGGUAGGGAGAAUUCAGAACUCAGAAAGCAGAAAAUAGUGAGGCCAGAGGUGAAAUUGAGAAGAAAAAGAUCUGUACAAAGAAAAAUGGUUUAUCUGAAAUGAGAAGAAAUGGGUCUGCAAAA